rnacentral:snRNA from 1 species
AAAAUCAUAAGGCAGAGGAGACACUGUGCUCAGGCAGGUAGUUUUCCCAGGGCGAGGCUCAUCUCCUGCACUCUGGGUGUGCUGACCCCGUGAUUUCCCCAAAUGUGGGAAACUCAACUGCAGAAUUUGUGGUAGCGAGGGAGCGCGUUAGUUUCUAGUGGGAGGUGUCCCUGA